CUUGAUGCUGCCACAAAGAGAAGAGAAUGAAUAAAGUUGUCGGCUUUGUAAGAGCCAGACCAACAGAGAUACCCAGCACUAAUCAACUUUGUGGCAAAUCCCUCCAUGGCCUAAGAAGGAUCCCUAGCAGCAAUCCUCAAGAGCCUCAGCAGAUUGGAGAGAUGCCUCUUUGAUUCCAUCCCAGAGCUAAAGAUUGGAACAACUGUCCCUCCCCCUCUAAACCCACAGUCUGCCACAAGAACAUUUUAAACCUUCCUCCAUCAUGGGGAGCAAAACUUCCUGACUGGUCCUCCAGAUCCUUCUCAAGCACAGAAUAGAGAGAGCAUGAUGGUGAGUGAGCAUACUGUCCUUCCUGCAGGUCCUCAGUUCCACCACACUCUCCUAAGAGAAGGAAGAAGCCAGGCCUUAACGCUGUACCUCUCUCUGGAGGCAGCAGGCACAAGUGGAAUGGAAGUGAUUGAAAAUCCUGCUUUUAUGCAAAUUGUAACUAUAAACUCAUUAUAGUCAAUAUGAACAUCGUAUGGCUAAAGAGUAUCUUCAGCCAGGCACGGUGGCUCACGCCUGUAAUCCCAACACUUUGGGAGGCCGAGGUGGGCGAAUUACCUGAUCUCAGGAGUUCAAGACCAGCGUGGCCAACAUGGCGAAACCCCAUCUCUACUAAAAUACAAAAAUUAGCCAGGCGUGGUGGUGCAAGUCUGUAAUCCCAACUACUCGGGAGGCUGAGGCAGGAGAAUCGCUUGAACCUGGGAGGCUUGCAGUGAGCCGAAAUCACGCCACUGCACUCCAGCCUGGGUGACAGAGCGAGACUAAAAACAAUAUCCCCAUGGUUGUCAGAAAAAAGCUUUUGUGAGACCAGCCUGGGCAACUAAAAUACAAAAAUACAAAAAAUAA